rnacentral:rRNA from 1 species
AUGAAAAGAGGGGGUUGGAUUCGUACCCCGGUGGGAUUUGGGAAACUUAAUGUUGAUGCUUCUUUUGAUCAUGAUCUUCUUAAAAGUACGGCUAGGGCUGUCCUGAGGAACGAUAAGGGGAAUUUUAUUGCAAGGGUUACUUGGAAAAUUGAUCAUUGUGUCGAUGCUCUAACAGCGGAAGCUUGGGCUCUUAUAUUCGGUCUUUCACUAGCGCAACAUGCUGGUUGCAAUUGCUUUGUUAUUAAUUCUGAUAAUUUGGAGGUUAUUGAAACAAUGAAUAAUGGCGGACAGUCAGCAGGAGCGUCGGCGGCAAUUUUUGAUGAUUGCUAUUUUUUGGCGUGUGAUCUUCCUACCUCUAGCUUUGAAUAUUGUAAUAGGGAAGCCAAUAAGGUUGCGCAGGAGCUUGCUUGGUUUGCUAGAUUUUCUGCUACUGUUGAUUGGUUUGAGGAGCCUAUGAUUGAGAUUGUACCAUUCCUCACAAACAAUGUAUUUGUUAUUUUGGUUGAAUAA